rnacentral:lncRNA from 10 species
CACAAAGAUGCGCAGAUUUGGAGCGUCAAUGGGGGUUGGAGGAGGUUUAAGAAAGUCCCUGACAGGAAUUCUGUGGAAAGUCCACAGAAUAUAAGCACAAGGUCAGCUGAGGAAGAGAAAAGACUCAGUCGAUGCUGGGCACGUAUUUUAUUGAGUUCCCAUCAGUUGAAUUUGUGCUUUCUUCAGCAGCGACACCCCAACCUUGUCAUGGAUGACCAUGACCCCAGUUUGGGAGAUUUGAAAGACCCUCCUGCCCUGACUCGGCACAUUUUCUAUUUCUUUCUUUCUUUUUAUUUCUUCUCCUAUUGAUCUUCCAAUAGUCACUAUGGCCCGAUUCUCAGUGCAGCCUGCAGUCUACGAACUAAGUGUAAUGUGUUCUAAUCUGCUCGGACGUUGUGCUCUGCUCUUUGACUGGUGCCAAUAGAUCUGCCCUGAUGUCAUGCACGUGGUCUUGGUUGGGCUUCUUAUAAUCUCAGCUCUCAUGUAUUAAUUCUGGCAGGGAACAAUAUGUGCUGAGGAAGAAAAAUGCAGCCAAGUGGCCCCGGAAGAGAUUACACCCAAACUUUGAUCUUCAUAUAUAUUGUUUGGUUCAAAGGGUAGUCAUUGGUCUCAGCAACUCCUUCCCAGGAUAUGCAAAUGAACAUGCUGUAUUUAACCAGUGUCCUUAGGAAUUAACUGGUCCUCUGGAAGUCCAGAGAGUAAGUCUUGGAAGACUACACAGCCAUGAAGGAUGCUCACAUCACCCUCCAGGACUGCUUUGGAGAAAAGCGUGCUGCUGCCAUCAGGAAAUACCACCACAGCUCAUUUGCUGAGUCUGGGCACUGGCUGGUGCCAGGAACUCUGCUGUCACUUCCAUCAGAAAAUAAACUCUGUGAAGCAUCUGCAUCCUCCCUUUUCCUUCUUCUCUAACAAAAUCUCAAUUGGCUAUAUUUGAUUGGUGGAGCCUAGGUUACAUGUCUACGUCUCUGUUGCAAAGGAGGUUGGGAAAAUAAGUUAUUUAUUUUUCCUUAAAAGGCAGAACUCAUAAGAACUUCUCCAAAUAUAAGAACAUUGUUCAAAAGAUGCCGUUGGCCACAAACAUGACAUAUGUCUGCCUCACUUUCCAUAACUCUGCCAGCAUUAAAUGAUUAAAUUGUUU